rnacentral:tRNA from 2 species
CCCUGGUUAGCUCAGUUGUUAGAGCGCUCCACUGGAAACAGAGAAAUCCCGGGUUCAAUACCCGGAACAGGCG